rnacentral:rRNA from 1 species
GACGAACCGUGCGAACGUUAUUCGGAAUCACUGGGCUUAAAGGGCGCGUAGGCGGGGCACUAAGUCCGGGGUGAAAGCCCCCAGCUCAACUGGGGAAGUGCCUUGGAUACUGGUGGUCUCGAGGGAGGUAGGGGUGUGCGGAACUUCCGGUGGAGCGGUGAAAUGCGUAGAGAUCGGAAGGAACGCCGGUGGCGAAAGCGGCACACUGGACCUCAUCUGACGCUGAGGCGCGAAAGCCAGGGGAGCGAACGGG